GAUGAACGCUGGCGGCGUGCCUAAUACAUGCAAGUCGAGCGAACAGACGAGGAGCUUGCUCCUCUGACGUUAGCGGCGGACGGGUGAGUAACACGUGGAUAACCUACCUAUAAGACUGGGAUAACUUCGGGAAACCGGAGCUAAUACCGGAUAAUAUAUUGAACCGCAUGGUUCAAUAGUGAAAGACGGUUUUGCUGUCACUUAUAGAUGGAUCCGCGCCGCAUUAGCUAGUUGGUAAGGUAACGGCUUACCAAGGCGACGAUGCGUAGCCGACCUGAGAGGGUGAUCGGCCACACUGGGACUGAGACACGGUCCAGACUCCUACGGGAGGCAGCAGUAGGGAAUCUUCCGCAAUGGGCGAAAGCCUGACGGAGCAACGCCGCGUGAGUGAUGGAGGUCUUCGGAUCGUAAAACUCUGUUAUUAGGGAAGAACAAAUGUGUAAGUAACUAUGCACGUCUUGACGGUACCUAAUCAGAAAGCCACGGCUAACUACGUG
rnacentral:rRNA from 1 species